UACGUAGGGUGCAAGCGUUGUCCGGAAUUAUUGGGCGUAAAGAGCUCGUAGGCGGUUCGUCACGUCGGCUGUGAAAUCCCGGGGCUCAACCCCGGGCCUGCAGUGGAUACGGGCUGGCUAGAGGCAGGCAGGGGAGAACGGAAUUCCUGGUGUAGCGGUGAAAUGCGCAGAUAUCAGGAGGAACACCGGUGGCGAAGGCGGUUCUCUGGGCCUGUACUGACGCUGAGGAGCGAAAGCGUGGGGAGCGAACAGG
rnacentral:rRNA from 1 species